rnacentral:rRNA from 1 species
UGGGGAAUAUUGCACAAUGGGCGCAAGCCUGAUGCAGCCAUGCCGCGUGUAUGAAGAAGGCCUUCGGGUUGUAAAGUACUUUCAGCGAGGAGGAAGGCGUUGUGGUUAAUAACCGCAACGAUUGACGUUACUCGCAGAAGAAGCACCGGCUAACUCCGUGCCAGCAGCCGCGGUAAUACGGAGGGUGCAAGCGUUAAUCGGAAUUACUGGGCGUAAAGCGCCCGCAGGCGGUCUGUCAAGUCGGAUGUGAAAUCCCCGGGCUCAACCUGGGAACUGCAUCCGAAACUGGCAGGCUAGAGUCUUGUAGAGGGGGGUAGAAUACCAGGUGUAGCGGUGAAAUGCGUAGAGAUCUGGAGGAAUACCGGUGGCGAAGGCGGCCCCCUGGACAAAGACUGACGCUCAGGUGCGAAAGCGUGGGGAGCAAACA